rnacentral:rRNA from 1 species
GAUCCUGGCUCAGGAUGAACGCUAGCGGCAGGCCUAACACAUGCAAGUCGAGGGGCAGCACGUUAAAGAGUUUACUCUUUAUGGUGGCGACCGGCGGACGGGUGCGUAACGCGUAUGCAACCUGCCUGACACAGGGGGGAUAAUCCGAAGAAAUUUGGUCUAAUACCCCAUAAUACCGGAUAUAGGCAUCUAUGUUGGUUGAAAGCUUUGGUGGUGUCAGAUGGGCAUGCGUUGUAUUAG